GCUCAGGUGGUGAAAUGGUAUCACGACACGUUGUGGCCGUGUUAUUCUGAGUUCGAUUCUCAGCCUGGGCA